AAUCUUAAGUUGGUUGCAGUCAGUCACAGACAGACGUGAUAUUACACGUCAAAAAAGUUUAACAACGGAGAUCGGAUAACAAGUUAACUGUUUUUAAAUAAUUUCAGCUGAAGUUUUCAUGUACCUGGCCAACUAGGUGCUCGUGACAAUAGAAAUGAAAUGGUCUAAUCCAAUAAUGCAAGCUCACAAGUCACAACCUAUGUCUUCUGAAGAAAAAUCAUUUCUGUUGCAGUUGUAAAUCUUCAAGAUAUUGAUGCCUUCGCCAGAUCCAAUUCUUUGUUGCUGAUGAGAGAGAGAAUUCAUCAUUUUGUAUUUUGCAUUUAGACUGAAUGAUAACCAUUUUGUUGCCCAUCCAAGGAUAAGGAAAAGGCCAACACCACCAACACGCCAACUAGGUUCUUUGUUUGUUAACCCCCUUGGCUGGUGAAAGAUUGUUGUGCAUCAAGUUAACCUGUGGCUGUUCCUUGUUGCUGGUGUCUUGCUACAGAAGUUACAGGCAGUAUUUUGUUCAAUUUGCAUUAUGUCUGUAGAUUUACAGCUAGUUUAAGUCUUAGCUUCAUCUUCUUCUUCAUUCCAGUCUAAUUCACACAUGUAUUUUUUCAGCCAGUGUUGAAUUUGACGUGCACAAUUUUCUCAUUGGUAUAAGUAUGAUUAGGCUUAACUCUUGUAAAUAACAUUAAGUGACAUUUAUUUGUCUUUUCAUUGACAGCAUUUCCAUUGGUACUGAAGAUCAAUUCAUUU